CUGUGAGUGGUUCUGUGGUUGAAAGUCGAUGCCAGUCGCGGGCGAAACGACCCACGUAAGGUUCCCUAAUCGGAACUGAGCAUGGCGCGGUUUAGAAGUAAGUCCUGACUCGGUGUGACCAAAGUGGUCAUGGCGAACUCAGGCAGGUGUGGGGUCAAAGACCAGGUCAGCACUCACAG
rnacentral:ncRNA from 12 species